GGAAAAGUCUGCGGAGUUCCUGAGAGAAGAUGCAGCCCCUGUUCAGAGCUGUCUCCUGCACCUGGCCACUGAACGGAUGGUGAUUCCUCUCUCCCACAAACAGAGCUCUCAAAGAAAAUGCAGAUAAAUUCUGCUGCAGAGCGCCUGGAUGAUGCAGCUGCUUUUCCUGAUGAACUCAUCUCGCCUCCCAGCGCAACCUGCCCCGUCUAACCCCGCCGCCGCCUCUCCCUCCCUCGCACGCCCCCCCUGCCGUAUCCUGCACCCCCUGCUCCCACCGCGCACCCGUCCUUCUCCUGCCGUGGGCUGGGCCGCGGCGGCGAUGGGAACCGGACCUCUGAUCCCAGACCUCCCCAGAGCGGUGCGUUUGCCUUUGCAGGGCUCGCGGGGCGGGAGCCAGCGCUGGCUGCAUGCCGAGGUGCUGGGCACACGUGCGCGCCCGGAACCGGGGGCGAGAAAGGAGGAUGUGAUUCCAGUGCGGGUGGCCUUUUCCAGGGCUGCUCUGUGCCAGACCCUCACGAGAAAGCACAUCCUCGCCGUGUUGCAACACGGAGCCUCUCUUCCUGCUCCACGAGCCGCGGGGCCAGCAGAGGCCUUCCUCCCAGCACCGAGAUGCUGAGAUCACGUCCUCGAGCGCUUGCCCACGUCCCUCAACUCUGGUCCCUCCAUGGCCUGUUAUGCUGCCGUGAUACCCCCUGGACUCUAGGCAGCAGUGCUAAGACCAAGCUUGAGACUUCCAGCUUGAUCCUCAAGCUGCCUGAGGAGACACUUUAUGGUGUGAAGAGAAAAAGUAAACAGAGAAGAUAUAAAGGAAGAAGAUACCAUGUUCUUUGAGGAUAAGUGAUUUUAACAGAAAUUCUGUUUUGGUAAGAAUGUUUUUGACAGUUUAAUGAACAUUAGGAAGGUCUGUAUAGUAUGGAUAUAUCAAUAUGCCAUUAGGGUGAAAUGUUUUACAUUAUUAAAAUAGGCUUAUCUAUAUUGCUCAAUAUUUUGAGAAGUGCUGAAUGUCUUUAAAGGGCUAUAUAAAUGCACUUUACUUAUUUCCAAGAUAGUCUUCCUUUAUAGUUUGGAGUAAUAUAUUAACUUAUGUGGUUAUUUGCCAUUAAAUUGAUGACAGUGUAUUUAUCAGUGAUGUUAAACCUUCUACAUAUUCCACAAGGAUAAACUUGAGGUG